GACGAACGCUGGCGGCGUGCUUAAUACAUGCAAGUCAACUGAACUUUAGGUAGCAAUAUUUAAAGGGAGGUGGCGCACGGGUGAGUAACACGUAGGUAAUCUGCCUUCAGGACUGACAUAAUUCCGCGAAAGCGGGACUAAAAUCAGAUGAUGCAGCGGCUCGACAUCGAGACAGUUGUUAAACCUUCGGGGCCUGAAGAUGAGCCUGCGUCUGAUUAGGUAGUUGGCGGGGUAAAAGCCCACCAAGCUUGCGAUCAGUAGCUGGUCUGAGAGGAUGAUCAGCCACACUGGAACUGAGACACGGUCCAGACUCCUACGGGAGGCAGCAGUAAGGAAUAUUGCUCAAUGGCCGAAAAGGCUGAAGCAGCAACGCCGCGUGGAGGAUGAAAUACUUUAGUAUGUAAACUCCUGUAAGAGGGGAAAAAUAUACAGCUAUGCUGUGUUGAUUGUACCCUCAGAGUAAGCACCGGCUAACUACGUGCCAG
rnacentral:rRNA from 1 species